UGGGUUUCAGGCUGUUCAUACACAUGACCUGUGAACGAUGUGAGGGUUCAUCCGUGUGUAACUUGUAGUUGACUUUCCGUAUCCAGAGUUCCUCUGCAUCCUGGGAUUCCGCCUGUGGCAUAUUGUGUAGUGCUGUAGUUCUUGCUAUUGAAAAAAUACCCAAGUGUAAGUGGACUCUGUGCAGUUCAAACCUGCACUGUGCCAGGGUCAACUGUAUAGACUUGUAUCCUUUUUUCCUCAACAUUAUACCCUGUGAUUCCGUUUUCUUGAAUAAUGUGGUUUUCCAGUGAUUACAUAAUAUUUUUUCACAGAUGCACUCUGAUCGUGCCAUUCUCUUUUUGGUUGACAUAUAUUUAUGUAUUGUUUUCCACCAUUUAAUGUUAAUAAGAAAUGCUGGGAUGAACUGCUUUGCCUAUAAAUCUUCUGUUUCAUUGUCUUCACUAUUUCCUUAAUAUAAUUUCCAAAAGACUAAAAUUACUGAGCUGUACUAUAGGUCAUUAAAAAUAAGUUCUUCCCAGAAGCUCCUAUCUGACCCUUCAUCCAUCUCCCACAGGAGUGUCUGGGGUGUGUUUCUCUCUUCAUGUAGGAGGUGGGGGAGACAUCAGAUUGGGAGGGGGGCUCAAUGGGAAAGAAGAGCAUCUUGACCUAAGCCUGUCCAUGCUUUGUCUUCACAGGCCGAAUGCUUUUUGUGUGCUUAGACUGGUUCAGAUGUGAGUAAAUCUGGGAUCUGCCUAGUGUCUGGGAAGUCCAGCUCACCUCUGAGUCCACAUGUUGUUCCUGCCCCUGCAGGGAAGCUUCGCAGGCCCCCAUGGGGCAGGUCUUUCUCAACUGGGUGUCAGGUGGCCCCCAGAGGUGGCCAGGCUUGUGAAGGAGGUAGAGACAGGAACCCAAACCGUUUUCAGCUUUUCCUUUGCAGAUUCAACCUUUUAAGCAUACCUACACUUACCUGCAACGGCAAUCGUUUUGCAUUUUAAUGACAAAUCAAGUACGCUAACUUGCAUUUGAAACGAAAGUGCCUUAAAUGUCUCUGGCUGUCAGAAUGAGAUGUUAGGAGCUUGAUGAAAAGCGAACAAAGAAGACAAAGUAUGAAGCCUAGAUACAGUGCAAAAUGAAAUAAAACCUUGUAUGGCCUGUCAGAGGUGUCAGUUGAUAUUCAUAUCUAAAGCACAUUAUAGCAUUACUUUGCAGCUCAUAGCUUACUCAUCUGUCUUUUUUAAUUCAUCACAUUGGAGCCCACAUCUUUUAAGUCUCGUGUGUCAACAAUGGGAGAAAUCUGUUAAUUGACAAAUGAGUGUCACAAAUGUGAAUUGGUGCCUUUACAUCAGCGGCAGGUGUAGUCUCUUUUGUUUUUUGUUGGAUCUAUUAUUGGCAUAAGCCAGUGUAAGACAUCUGUCUUUGUCGGAAUGAGAAAUGACAGGCCUUCUUGGCUGUCAUUGUCUUAGUGCGUGCUCAUUCUGUGAGAUACUGUAUAAAGAUAAAAUGUCAGUUAAAAGAAUAUGAAAAACUAUCUGGAGGAAGUCCUUAAAUUACUCAGAGAGGGGAUCCGGGAAUUGGGACUGGAAUUGAAAUCCGAGUGUUUCAGUUUGUAUCUAUCAUACCUAUUUAAAAAUAAUAUUUCCUGAGUAACAGGAUGAGGUUAUCAGGCAUUUAGGAGGAUGUUAUGUUGUGCUGGUAUAAUUAGCUUUAUCAGGUGGGGAGAAAGUCUACCUUUGCAAGAUAUGAAUUUAUUUAUUAUCAGGUCAUCUCUCAGACAAGCACAGAAUUGUCUCAAUAAAAACACUCCAGGUAGGAUUCUGGGCAUUGAUUUGCAUGUGUUUUGAAAUAUUGAAAUUGUUCCCCUCCAAUUUCUUUUUCGGUUAUAUUCCUAUCUGAGACUGAUGAGAAGCAUAAUGAAAUAAAAAGCAGCAGUUGUAGAGUGAUGAGACAAUUAGCGGGGAGAAAACUGUUAGUUUCACAGAGCUCCUGGUGGGUUUAGAGAUGCAAGCGAGUCUGGACACCUGAGGCUGUGUUGUUAACGCAAGUUAUUGCUGGUAAGAGAGGGUGAGAGAAGAGGUGCAAGGUCUGACAGUGGAGGAAUGCUCCUGCUUGCUCUUCUGUCGGCAGGAGCUAGGGACCCCCUGGGCAUUUAGGGCUGGUAAGGACUGGGUGAUCUCAGUCGAGCAUGUCCUGGUUGUAGAAAGGCUGAACUCUUAAGGCAUGUUUCCCAAACUUGAGUGUGUACACAAAUCCUUGAGAGUCUUGUUACUACACAGUGUCUGAUUUAGUAGGUCCGGCCCUGGGCCUGAGCCUCUGCAUUUCUAACAGAUUCCUAGGUGACAAUGACCUGCUGUUUUGUAGACUCAGCUUGAAUGUCAAAGAGUUCAGUUCAUCUUCUCACAGACCAUCUGGUGGGCUUCUGUAGACCGCGUGGAGCUCAGAGGAGAGGCAGGGCUUCAGUGCUGGGAUGAACUGGACUGGCCUGAAUCAUUUCUACAUGAAAAAGUUCUUUUUCUGUAGAAAUGUUUCCAGCCCCUUCAGAGGAGGCCCAGACUCAUUGGUUUUUCUCGAGCUCUAUGUGACUGGGGGACAGGACUCUGAGGCCAAGGUCCCCUGUCUUCUCUGCAGGGGUCAGCACUGUGUGUGUGUGGGCACGCUUGUGUGCACGCACUGUGCACAUAGGCUCACUGUCGUGUGGUUGAGGAAGGGCACGGAUUGAACCUUAUGUGUGUGUUGACAGAACUUGCGUGUUUUUGUGUGCACCUUGUAGUGUUUUGGGGGCAUGCAGCAGGCCUGAGUGUACACUUUUUGUGUGUGAUAUAUAAACAUACAUGUAAACAACUGUAUGUUUACAUAUCAGGCAUGUACCAAACUAUGGGAGGGGAUGUGUGUAUGAGAGUGAGUUUUCUCUGUGGAGUGAUGGGACUCCUUAGCUGAUAACUCAUUUGAGUAAUCAGAUCGAUGGGGUGUAUGUAGGGAAAGAAAUGGCAGGAGGAUCUGCUGCUGGAGCUGCAGCCUGGUCCUUUGGUGGUGGUAGUCUCUGGUAAACAUUUGUCUCCCAGGUUCCUCCUGGCCCACUGCCGUGGAUGCUGACUACAUUGUUUAUUUUCAGAUGGAAUAGACUCCAGGCAAAGUCAGACAAUCCUAUUGGGAUCUGGGGAAGUCCUCAAAUUAUCAUUGGAGGAUCAAAGAAGGGCAAAUUACAGAGGGCUGGAGGACCAGACAUUUGCCUCCCUUUUCUUUUCAUUUGAGCUACAAUCAUGACUCAGAGCACAAAGCCACUUCUUUUCUUUGCAUGUAAACUAAUAACAAACUAAUGAGUAAUUGGGAGGAUGAAACAGCUGUUUUUCUGAGGAACCUCAGAACCUUAGGAAAGCCGACCGCUCUUUUUCCAGUCUCUUCUCUCCUUUCCCCCAGGCCCCUGCCUUCUUCCUUUCAAAUUCUAUGUAUUGCAGACCUCUUCCUGGCUGACCCUUAAAUGCUCUGUUCUGGAGGAAAUUUUAAUUUUUUUUUUUUUUUAAUUGAAACAAGGCUUACCUGAAGGGAGUGCGGCAAGCCAGAGAGAAAGGAAGGGAAAUAACCCAUCUGAAUAAAAAGAAGGCCCAUAAGUUGCACCCCAACCCCCUUCGCGAUAAAUGAGAAUGUUUUUGUCACAUGGAGAGAGGCCCAUGUUGCUUUCCAUGUAGGUGCAUUAGGGAAAAAGAAGUUGCCUGAGCACAGAGAGUGUAUUUGUGUGUCUGUGCACAUGUCUCCCCAUUUGCCUUCUAAAAAUGGGCAAGGCACGCACAUGGAUCUUGUGUUUAUCCACACACACGUCUGUGCGCGCAGACACAGGCCAGAUCCGCACAGACAUCUUUUUGUCCGCAUGCUGGGGGACUAGGUACAUAAGAAGACCGUUUUACGUGCCCGCUCUUGGUUUUUCAUUGCUGGUUGUCACAGAGAAUCUGAAACAGACAAAAAUUUAUUGGGUAGUAUUUAGAAACAUGUCGGUGGUAACGACUGCAGCUCUGAUUUCAAUUAACACCCACUAAAUUUAGGCUAAUGCAGUGCAUUUGUAGACCUGUUGAAUGUGCUUGGCAUCACGUUGCAAAAAUCUAAAGUGGCCACAGUUUAAAAAACAUUUCAAACUGACCGCCACUCCUGUGCUUACUCCCCUCCCCCGCCACUCUGGCGCAGGGUGGUGAGCUCCUCUGUGAACCAGAGAGCCUUCGAAAAUCUCUUACUUUAGGUUUUUAUAAAAUGACCUUUCGAUAGCAGAGAGCACAGUUAAAGUUUUAGCGUCCGAUCUUGCUUAAUGAAAUACUACUUUGGAGUUCAUAAUUCAUCAUUUCUAACACCCCGCUCACCCCCUUUCAUGGCUGUUUGGGUAAAAACAGCUGGAGAAGUGCUGCAUUUUAUGAUUAAGGCACUAAAAGAUUAGCCGUAGGCACUGCCCAUCUACGGGGCUAUGGAGUUCAGGCUGCUGACAGCAGAUCUGUUUUGAAUCGGAGUCAGAUUAAAGUGCCAUGGGAACUGGUCGUUUUGCCUCAGCCCUCAACUGUUCUGUAGUCAUUACCGUGUCUUUAUGGACGGUCUCAUUUUCAUCCGUUGAAGCCGCCCCAGACUGCCUUGGCCAGCCGUGUGGGCAUCAGGGACUGAUAAAGAGUCCGCAGCUCUUUCCUCCUGAAGGGCUCCUACGGGAGAGCAAGGGGAAAAAGUGAAGACAGACGUCUUGGGAAAGAAAACACGUUUCCCUGCCAAAACUGGGAGAUGGUGCUGGCUCUCUGGGCUUUUUAGAAACUCCAAGAAAUCUGCUGACAUUUUAAAGAGGGGGGGAAAGAGGGAGAUGAUUUAUGAUGACAUCACAUGUUGCCCAAGCAGAUCCUGCAAGAAGAAAAUGGCUUUUAUAGAGAGCAUGUUGCAAUAAAGAAACUGUGAGUCACUGGGGGAGCAUCAUCAAUU